ensembl:lncRNA
GGCUCACAGGAUCUCUAGAAAAGCUGAAGAGUCAAGUUCGCUGUGAGGCAUCCAGGAAAUGCCUGAGAAGGGACGUGAUGACGUGUGUAGUCAGUAGGCUAAUUGGGCCGUGGGCUCUAUUAGCCCCCCCCAGCCCUGUUACCCCAGAACUUGAUCACUCUGCCACCUCCGACCCCGAGAGACAGUGGAGAGUUUCUUAUGGUUCCACUGGCUUGAGGCCUUCAUCUCAUAAGUGGAUGGUGUGACUCAUAACCUGAUUCUAGCGGUGGGGUCUGGGAAGGCCAACGUCUGACAUUUCGGCGUCUGUGGUGGAAGAUAGGUUCUGUCUUAUGACACAAGAUGGGAAAGGGGUGCAGAUACUGAACAGCCAAAAGGAAAGACAGAUGUUCCCUUUACCUUUUAAUAAACCAGAGAGAGGAGGACUAGUCAGACCUUCUCCCCUUCUUCUCCAGGAGGGAGACAAGAUCAUAUGCAGCAAGAAGACAAAUACGGCCCAUCUCCUGGGGUCAGUUAAACACUCUCAUGACUGUGCCUGUUUCCUGGGUCUCAUGUUAAAUGACAGCAUUUCGAAGUCCCCCCAUUCGUGUCAGUAGCAGAGUCACCUCUUCUCUUCUCAGAGUCACCAGGGAUUUGCUGUAACAGAAGAGCUUACCUGGCUGCUGUCCUCCGUUUGGGUUCCAUCCAGUGCUAGCCUAUUAAUUAUUAGUAUUUCACACCAAAUUUUACCACAACCUUGCCUUUCUCUGUAUUCAAUCACAUUUUUAUUUAGUCAACAUGUACUGAAUAUCUUCUUGUGCUAGGUGACAUGCUAGGCUUUGAGGACACAGAGAUUCACAUUCUUCAGGAAGGACAUUUAACAAAUAAGUGCAAUUUUUGAUUAAAAAAAUAUAAAUGCCCAGAUCUUUGAUAGAACAUCCAACAUGUAAAGUAUCUGUGUUCUGAAAACAAACACAAAUAAAUAAAAGAAAAUCCCCAACAACUCUGAGGAACUCCCAUUGAAUUUAGAAUAAGCCCAGACUCAGAACCAUGCAUGUAAGGCCCUACAAGAGCGGGCCCAGUCUUUCAGCUGACUUCAUCGCCCACUGCCUUUCUGUGCUAUGAUCCAGCCAUCUCAGCCUUCUUUCUCUUCCUUGAACAGGCCAAGGUCAUUCCCAGCUAAGUGUCUGCAGCUGAUGCUCCUCUUCUCAAUAGUCUUCUCCAUGGCUGGCUUCUCAGAGAGCAUCCCCGACACUCUCUUCCCAGUCACUCUGUGUGAUCAUUCGAAUUUCCAUUAUGUUAUAUAUUUGCCACCCAUGUGCCCCAAAAGAGGCUGUGCUAACAGCGAGCAGGGACCUUGCCAGUCAUGUUCAUUGCUAUCCCCAAAGCCCACACACUAUAAGCGGUCAAGAAAGGUUUAAUACAUGAAUGAAAGUAUAAAUGAGUGGCAGAAUAUAAAUGAUAGCAAGAGCGACUGUGGGCCUGUCAAUGGAUCAGGACACUCAAUGAUGCAAAUCUCCAAGGUAUGCUAAGACAUCUUAGAUUUUCAUUUAUUCUUUCUCCCCCUUCAUAAGUUUUACCAGAUGGUAAAAAGGACACAUGGAAAGAUCUUUAGUCCAAUCCAGAAGGGUCUCAUGGACAUGGUGGCACUAAAAGCUGGGGAGACCUGGAGUUGGUCAUCAUUUUGAAAGACAGUGUUUUUUAUAAUAGAAGGAAAGUGCUUGUCUGCUAAGUAAAUCUCCCCAAAAGGGAAGGUAAAUUGGGAAGGCCCCCAUUCUGGCCUUUUCUAAGUGGUCAGAGAUGACAGCAUCCGCCCUCUUGUCUGGUCAAGUGAAACUCAGUCUGAGGACUAACCGCAAAUAGCAGAACAGACUCCCAAUCGGCUGCUUCUCUUGUCAGUGUAGCAAUAGCCUUGGCAACUUUCUUUUUAUCUCAGCACUCUAAAGCUAUUUAUACACUGGCAUAGGAAAACAUAUUAUUUGCAGAAAUGCCUCCGGAUCCUAUGUCAUUUAUACAGGGACAGAAGAUGUUUUCAAAGGACCAUAUUUCUGUAGUAUUUUUUGCGACAAAGACUGUACAGCAAUGAUCUGCCAGGUUGUGUGGGUGUAAAAACAGCCUCCAUUAACUAAUCUUCAGUUCUACUUUGGCUGUUUAAAUAUCCAAGUUUUUCAGUCUGUCCAUAUUUAGAUUUUGGAAUUUAGUCAUGAUUAAUUUGCGGGCUUGAAGUAUAGGAUACAGCACCUAGGGGUUCCUUUCUCAAUCCUCUCCUCCUCUCUCUUGGGUUUUAUUGGAAUUGUGCCAGUAUAAGUGCACUUUGGAAAUCUUACUUUAGCUAAGCUGAAAAUGUGGCAAUUAUAGGCAUAAUGCAAGUCUCUUCUAGGAGCAGAUGCCAAGACAGGAUUAGAUGUGCAUGAAAUUUAUCAAGGAAAAUGCCAAUGAGGGGGAAAAGGGAGGGAGCUGAAAGAGGUGAGGGGAACCGGGAAGGAUGAGAGCGAAGUGAUGCUGGAUAGACAGUCUCAGAUUGCCCCACAAUUUUAAGCAGAAUUCAGCGUUUGUGAAAAGUCUUUGAGCCAAAGUCGCCCAUCCGAGGAAUCCCCAUCUUGCAGGAACAGGCUUGCACAAGCAACCCUGUCACAUUGCCUCAUUCUCCAGGAACAGCCCACAGGGAGUGGGGACUCACGCACAUGCUGCGGGGAUCCCCAUCUGUCACCGUCCUCCUGCAGCAGGGGACCUGAGCGGUGCUUUUUCAUGACCGCCACAGCUCCCGCCUAGUUUGCUUAAAGAGAGUAAAAGGCAGUAGCUUUUACAUUAUUUUCCUUGUAGCUCUGGGGUCCUAAGAGUUCCUUGGUAGCCUAGCGGUUAAGGAUUCAGUGUUAUCACUGCUCUGCCUCUGGUUCAGUCCCUGGCCUGGGAACUUCCACAUGCCUCAGGCAUGGCCAAAAAAAAAAGUCUCUGGGGUCCUAACGUGGGCCCUCAGGGGAGACUAAGACAUCAGGAACCACUGCAGAGCCACUUAGGCCUUCUUCACCCAGAGAAGCCUUUUACUAUUGUAUAUAUUGGGGAUUCUACAUAAGACUUCCUUAGGAGGCAAAUGAUUCCACUGCUUUCUAAAUAUUUUCAAAACAAUUAAAGGAAUACUGGAGUUCCCUGGUGGCUCAGCAGGUUAAAGAUCCAGCAUUGUUGCUGCUUUGGCUCAGGUUGCUGCCAUGGCAAGGGUUUGAUCCCUGGCCUGGAAACUUCCUCAUGCCAAGGUCAUGGCCAAAAGAAAAAGGAAAACCAUUGGUAGGGAGGCUCCCCUUGAACCCAAACCCUUGGUUUUUGGAUCAUUGGAGGGAAAAAAGAUAUUUUCUACAUAGUGCUUACUUCCCCAGACCAUGGUUUUCUACAUACUGGGCUUUCUGAAGUUUUCCCCCACUUCCUCAAGCACAGAAAGUUCCUACCACUGUGUUCCCAUGGUGCUUUGUACCUUGAUUAUGCCAUUUGUUACAUUUCAUAAUAAUUUGUUUAUAUAUCUGAGUCCUCCAGAUUGCAAAGUUUUUAUAUUUUAUUCUUUCCUUCUUUCUCUAAAGAGGGAAACAUUGGCAUUGUUCCAUAAUUAUACUGGUAAAUUCCCUUAUUUUACAACCAUGACUAAUGCCUCUAGCCGGUUAAGAGAAAACCAUCUACUUUUUAAGUAAUUUUGAAUUUCUACUGCAUAUUUUUAGAGAUAAUAAAACCCUGACCAAAACAAAAACAGAAAAUCUUGGUAUUCAAAAGGUGGCUCUAAGCUGAUCAUCAAUAUUAAAUCUUGUAUAUGACAACUUUGUGAGAACUGUGAAAGGCAAACACCAAAAGAAAAACCUACCUGUAAUUAUUUCUUCCAUUUAGACCACAAAUACUUAUUGAGAACCUCCUAUGGGCCAGGCCGUGUUGCAGGUGCUACCAUAGCUGAAGACAAUGAUGCAACUAAAACGGAGCGAUGUGAUGGGGUGAUAGGCCACUCUAGGUGGGUGAUCAGGAAAAGGGCUUCCUAUCAUGUGAAGCUUCAGAGGGAUAGCAUCGCUUGUAGAGGUAACAGCUAGGGCAAAGGGCCAAGAUGAAAACACACCAAAUCCAGGUUGGUGAGACUUUGGCGAGCCAGGCAAUUUGUCAUGGGGGAGAAGUGGUCAGAUAGGCAGGCAGGAGUCAGGUAGGUAGGGCUUUAAGGAACAAUGUGGGUAUUUCAAAUUUUUUUCUUUCUUUCUUUCUUUUCUUUUUUUUUUUAAGGGCCACAGGUGCAGCAUAUGGAAGUUUCCAGACUCGGGGUUGAAUUGGAGCUACAGCUGCCGACCUGCACUGCAGUCACAGCAACACCAGAUCCAAGCCAUGUCUAAGACUUACACUGUAGCUCAUGGCCACACUGGAUCCUUAACCCACUGAGCAAGGCCAAGGAUCGGACCCACAUCCUCAUGGAUACUGCUCGGGUUUGUUUCCACUGAGCCAUGACGGGAACUGCCUAAAUUUUUUUCUUAUGUGGAACAGGAAGUCACUGGAGGAUUGUAAGCAGGCAAUGAUAUGAUCUGAUUUAUAUGUAUAUAAAUAUAUAUAUGGCAACACCGGAUCCUUAACCCACUGAGCAAGGCCAGGGAUCGAACUGGCAACCUCAUGGUUCCUAGUUGGAUUCAUUUCCACUGCACCAAGACAGAAACUCCUGAUUUAUAUUUUUAAAAGAUCACUAUGGAGUUCCUCUUGUGGCUCAGUGGGUUACAAACCUGACUGAUAUCCAUGAGGAUGUGGGUUCGAUCCCCGGCCUUGCUCAGUGGGUUAAGGAUCCAGCGUGGCUGCAAGCUGUAUUGUAGAUCACAGAUGCAGCUUGGAUCUAGCGUUGCUGUGGCUGUAGUGUAGGCCGGCAGCUGCAGCUGGGAUUGGACCCCUAGCCUGGAAACUUCCACAUGCCGUAGGUGUGGUCCUAAAAAGCAAAAAAAAAAAA